AAGUCGUAACAAGGUAACCGUAGGUGAACCUGCGGUUGGAUCAUUAUCGAUCUGUACCCUGACAAAGGGUCGAUCUACCCCUGUGAACUGUAAAUGUACUCGACAGUGGGAUGCAAGUCCCAUGCAAGGUAGUGUUCGUUAGAGCCUGCCUAGCAUAGCCCUGUCGGGUACUGAAACCAACUCCAUGUAUAAUUUAACUGAUCUUGGCAGGCUUGCCUGCUGUUUUAAAUCAAAAACAACUUUCGACAAUGGAUCUCUUGGCUCUC
rnacentral:misc_RNA from 1 species